UGAGGGGGUUGGCUGGGUGGGAGGAGAUGGAAAAGUAAGACAAGUCGGAGGAGCUGUCUAGGUUGUCACCCUGUCGGGAGUGGGCGGUGGCAAAAGGAACGGAGAAAAAAAAGUCCUUGAUUGGUCUUUUUUAUUGGACGGUGUGAUCCCGCACCCUGGGGAGUGCGGGAUCACACCACGGCAGAAACAGAUGUGGAGGAGAGAGCGAACGCGUUCGUAGAAUACCUGCGGACAGGUCAUUUACCGACACUUCUCUUAUUACUCACCCAACCUAAGACAAUGCAGGGAGAUCCAUCUCUAGGACAUUUCUAAAAUGCUCAAAGUCAUUAGUGAGGCCCUAAAGCGCAAGAGUGGUGAUGCUGGAAAUUCAGGUAUGCAGAAAGGAAACUGUAAAGUGUUUCCUUUAAGUGAAAAGCCUUUAUGAUGGGAAUAUAGUUGUAUCUCAUUGUGAUUCAAUUUGGAUUUCCCUGAUGACUAAUACAAUUGAGCUCCCUUUUAUAUCUUUAUCGACUGUCUGGAGAUCAUCAUAGCCUACUGUACAUGUGACCAGCAUCCAUAUAAAAAUUCUCGACAGUCACAUGAUGAAUCAGACACCUUGCCUGCCUUCAAGGAUCUCAGAAUCUGUAGCAAGGACAGACAGGUAUACAGGUAGCAAUAUGACCAAUUAAAAGACUCCUUUUACAACCUCCACUGAAGCUAGACACAGAAUUCAGAAAGUCUCCUUAAGAAAGAGAUACCCAUCUUGCAUGAACUCUUUUUACUGUCUUUCCUUUCUCUUGCUUGCCUGAAACUCAAACAUGGUGGAUGGAGCUUCAGCAGCCAUCUUGGGUCAUGAGAAAAACCUUUAAGCUAGAAGCCAUGGCUAUGAAAAGCAUGGAUUUUCAUAGGAAUAUAAAAAUAGGUUUAGUUUCUGAUUACUACGGCGCCACCUUAUGAGAUCUAGACUACCACCCCCAAACUUCUUUUCUGAGAGAAAAACAGUUAAAGAUCCUGUUAUUCUUAUGAUUUGUGACUAGAUGCCAAAUGUAAAUCCUAACUGAUAGAACUGUUAAUUGUGAAAAUUAAUUAAGGUGAGGUAUUGCUUGGAUUAGUAAUAAUAGUAAAACUUAUUGAGUGUUUGCUGUGUACUAAUUUCUGAAAUAUUUUUUAAACACUAUUUAAUCCUCAUAAAAACUUUAUGAAGUAGGUAUUAUAUAUACUCCAUUUUUCAUAUGGAGAAACUGAGCUCAGGAAUGUUAAGUAACUUGCUCAAGGUCACAAACUAGAAAGUAGUGGUACUGGAACUUAAAACUGGACUUUGGGUGAUGAGCAUGCAAUAAAGUAUACACACAUUGAAUUAUUAUAUUGUACACCUGAAAUUUAUGUAAUGUUAUUAACCAAUGUUACCUUAACAUUUAAUGUAAAAAAUAAAAGACUGUUACAAGAGCCCUGGCUCUAAAUUUCUCAAAGGUGAAAGAAAUAUAAUCCUAGUAACAAAGCAAAGAUUCAUACAACUCAAUAAUUCAUACAACUCAACAAUAAUAAUAAUAAAUAAAAUCCAAUUAAGAAAUGGACAGAGGACCUGAACAGACACUUCUUCCAAGAAGACGUACAAAUGACCAACAGACAUGAAAAGAUACUCAACUUCACUAGCUAUUGGGGAAAUGCAAAUCAACACCACAAUGAGAUACCACCUUAUACCUAUUAGAAUGGCUAUUAUCAACAGCACAAGUCAUAGCAAGUGUUGAGGUUGUGAGGAAAAACGAACCUUCAUAUACUGGUGGGAGUGUAAAUUGGCACAACCACUAUGGAAAUCGGUAUGGAAGUUCCUCAGAAAACUAAUAGAAUUACCAUAAGA